CGUUGUCCGGAUUAUUGGGCGUAAAGAGCUUGUAGGCGGUUGGUCGCGUCUGCUGUGAAAGGCUGGGGCUUAACCCUGGUUUUGCAGUGGGUACGGGCUAACUAGAGUGCAGUAGGGGAGACUGGAAUUCCUGGUGUAGCGGUGGAAUGCGCAGAUAUCAGGAGGAACACCGAUGGCGAAGGCAGGUCUCUGGGCUGUAACUGACGCUGAGAAGCGAAAGCAUGGGGAGCGAACAGGAUUAGAUACCCUGGUAGUCCAUGCCGUAAACGUUGGGCACUAGGUGUGGGGGACAUUCCACGUUUUCCGCGCCGUAGCUAACGCAUUAAGUGCCCCGCCUGGGGAGUACGGCCGCAAGGCUAAAACUCAAAGAAAUUGACGGGGGCCCGCACAAGCGGCGGAGCAUGCGGAUUAAUUCGAUGCAACGCGAAGAACCUUACCAAGGCUUGACAUAUACUGGACUGCGUCAGAGAUGGCGUUUCCCUUCGGGGCUGGUAUACAGGUGGUGCAUGGUUGUCGUCAGCUCGUGUCGUGAGAAG
rnacentral:rRNA from 1 species